rnacentral:rRNA from 1 species
UGAGGAAUAUUGGUCAAUGGACGAGAGUCUGAACCAGCCAAGUAGCGUGCAGGAUGACGGCCCUAUGGGUUGUAAACUGCUUUUGUUUGGGAAUAAUCGACAUUACGUGUAAUGUUUUGCAUGUACCAUUCGAAUAAGGACCGGCUAAUUCCGUGCCAGCAGCCGCGGUAAUACGGAAGGUUCGGGCGUUAUCCGGAUUUAUUGGGUUUAAAGGGAGCGUAGGCCGUUUGGUAAGCGUGUUGUGAAAUGUAGGAGCUCAACUUCUAGAUUGCAGCGCGAACUGUCAGACUUGAGUGCGCACAACGUAGGCGGAAUUCAUGGUGUAGCGGUGAAAUGCUUAGAUAUCAUGAAGAACUCCGAUUGCGAAUGCAGCUUACGGGAGCGCAACUGACGCUGAAGCUCGAAGGUGCGGGUAUCGAACAGG